rnacentral:rRNA from 1 species
GCAGCCGCGGUAAUACGUAGGUGGCAAGCGUUAUCCGGAUUUACUGGGUGUAAAGGGAGCGUAGGCGGGACUUUAAGUCAGAUGUGAAAUACCGGGGCUCAACCCCGGGGCUGCAUUUGAAACUGGAGUUCUUGAGUGUCGGAGAGGUAAGUGGAAUUCCUAGUGUAGCGGUGAAAUGCGUAGAUAUUAGGAGGAACACCAGUGGCGAAGGCGACUUACUGGACGAUAACUGACGCUGAGGCUCGAAAGUGUGGGGAGCAAACAGGAUUAGAUACCCC